rnacentral:rRNA from 1 species
CCUACGGGAGGCAUCAGUGGGGAAUAUUGGACAAUGGGCGCAAGCCUGACCCAGCAACGCCGCGUGAAGGAAGAAGGCUUUCGGGUUGUAAACUUCUUUUCUCAGGGACGAAGAAAGUGACGGUACCUGAGGAAUAAGCCACGGCUAACUACGUGCCAGCAGCCGCGGUAAUACGUAGGUGGCAAGCGUUAUCCGGAUUUACUGGGUGUAAAGGGCGUGUAGGCGGGAAAGCAAGUCAGAUGUGAAAACCAUGGGCUCAACCUGUGGCCUGCAUUUGAAACUGUUUUUCUUGAGUACUGGGGAGGCAGACGGAAUUCGUCGUGUAGCGGUGAAAUGCGUAGAUAUGAGGAGGAACACCAGUGGCGAAGGCGGUCUGCUGGACAGCAACUGACGCUGAGGCGCGAAAGCGUGGGGAGCAAACAGGAUUAGAUACCCCAGUAGUC